rnacentral:tRNA from 1 species
GGGAAUGUGGCUUAGUGGUAAAGUGCUUGCCUAGCAUGCAUGAGGCCCUAUGUUCCAUUCCUU